UGCAAGUCGAACGGUAACAGGUCUUCGGAUGCUGACGAGUGGCGAACGGGUGAGUAAUACAUCGGAACGUGCCCGAUCGUGGGGGAUAACGAGGCGAAAGCUUUGCUAAUACCGCAUACGAUCUACGGAUGAAAGCGGGGGAUCUUCGGACCUCGCGCGGACGGAGCGGCCGAUGACAGAUUAGGUAGUUGGUGGGAUAAAAGCUUACCAAGCCGACGAUCUGUAGCUGGUCUGAGAGGAUGAUCAGCCACACUGGGACUGAGACACGGCCCAGACUCCUACGGGAGGCAGCAGUGGGGAAUUUUGGACAAUGGGCGAAAGCCUGAUCCAGCCAUGCCGCGUGCAGGAUGAAGGCCUUCGGGUUGUAAACUGCUUUUGUACGGAACGAAAAGCCUCUUUCUAAUAAAGAGGGGUCAUGACGGUACCGUAAGAAUAAGCACCGGCUAACUACGUGCCAGCAGCCGCGGUAAUACGUAGGGUGCAAGCGUUAA
rnacentral:rRNA from 1 species